CGAACCUUCGGGUUAGUGGCGGACGGGUGAGUAACGCGUGGGAAUCUGCCCUCAGGAGGGGGAUAACGGCUGGAAACGGCCGCUAAUACCCCAUAUGCCGAGAGGUGAAAUGAAUUUCGCCUGAGGAUGAGCCCGCGUCUGAUUAGCUAGUUGGUGAGGUAAGAGCUCACCAAGGCAUCGAUCAGUAGCUGGUCUGAGAGGAUGAUCAGCCACACUGGGACUGAGACACGGCCCAGACUCCUACGGGAGGCAGCAGUGGGGAAUUUUCCGCAAUGGGCGAAAGCCUGACGGAGCAACGCCGCGUGAGGGAUGAAGGCCUCUGGGCUGUAAACCUCUUUUCUCAAGGAAGAAGAUCUGACGGUACUUGAGGAAUAAGCCACGGCUAAUUCCGUGCCAGCAGCCGCGGUAAUACGGGAGUGGCAAGCGUUAUCCGGAAUUAUUGGGCGUAAAGCGUCCGCAGGCGGCCCUUCAAGUCUGCUGUUAAAACGUGGAGCUUAACUCCAUCAUGGCAGUGGAAACUGUUGGGCUUGAGUGUGGUAGGGGCAGAGGGAAUUCCCGGUGUAGCGGUGAAAUGCGUAGAUAUCGGGAAGAACACCAGUGGCGAAGGCGCUCUGCUGGGCCAUAACUGACGCUCAUGGACGAAAGCCAGGGGAGCGAAAGGGAUUAGAUACCCCUGUAGUCCUGGCCGUAAACGAUGAACACUAGGUGUCGGGGGAAUCGACCCCCUCGGUGUCGUAGCCAACGCGUUAAGUGUUCCGCCUGGGGAGUACGCACGCAAGUGUGAAACUCAAAGGAGUUGACGGGGGCCCGCACAAGCGGUGGAGUAUGUGGUUUAAUUCGAUGCAACGCGGAGAACCUUACCAGGGUUUGACAUCCUGCGAACCUCUUGGAAACGAGAGGGUGCCUUCGGGAACGCAGUGACAGGUGGUGCAUGGCUGUCGUCGGCUCGUGUCGUGAGAUGUUGGGUUAAGUCCCGCAACGAGCGCAACCCACGUCUUUAGUUGCCAGCAUUUAGUUGGGCACUCU
rnacentral:rRNA from 1 species